CUUUGCUUUUCCUUGUGGAUCUCAAUUUGCUCCUGCUUCUCUUGCUCACUUGGGCCAUCCCCGAGCUCGUGAGCCAGCGGCGCGGGGCAGCCGCGGAAGGCGAAGUCCUCGAGGUCGCGGAGCAGGCGCUGCUGCUCGGCCGGGCCGGCCCUGGCCACCUGCCGCAGCCGGAACUGCACUUGCGCGAAGUGCGAGGCCAGCGCCAGCAGUGCCCCGUGCAGGCGGCGCCGCUCGGCCCGCAACCGCGGCACCGACCGCGGCGACCCCGCCGUCUCUUCUUCCUCUUCCUCCUCCUCUUGCUCCACCGUCACAGCACCCACCGGUGCCCAGCGCUCCCCCGGGCCCAGCGGGCCGCCCUCCGACUCCA
rnacentral:lncRNA from 1 species